CCCUUAGAUGUUCUGGGCUGCACGCGCGCUACACUGAUGCACUCAACGAGUUUACGACCUUGCCCGAUAGGGUUGGGUAAUCUUUUUAAAAUGCAUCGUGAUGGGGAUAGAUUAUUGCAAUUAUUAAUCUUCAACAAGGAAUUCCUAGUAAGCGCGAGUCAUCAGCUCGUGCUGAUUACGUCCCUGCCCUUUGUACACACCGCCCGUCGCUCCUACCGAUUGAGUGCUCAGGUGAAUAAUUCGGACUGCAGCAAUGUUUGGAUCCCGAACGUUGCAGCGGAAAGUUUAGUGAACCUUAUCACUUAGAGGAAGGAGAAGUCGUAACA
rnacentral:rRNA from 1 species